GACGAACGCUGGCGGCGUGCUUAACACAUGCAAGUCGAACGGAAAGGCCCUGCUUUUGUGGGGUGCUCGAGUGGCGAACGGGUGAGUAACACGUGAGUAACCUGCCCUUGACUUUGGGAUAACUUCAGGAAACUGGGGCUAAUACCGGAUAGGAGCUCCUGCUGCAUGGUGGGGGUUGGAAAGUUUCGGCGGUUGGGGAUGGACUCGCGGCUUAUCGGCUUGUUGGUGGGGUAGUGGCUGACCAAGGCUUUGACGGGUAGCCGGCCUGAGAGGGUGAACGGCCACAUUGGGCCUGCGAUACGGCCCAGACGCCUACGGGAGGCAGCAGUGGGGAAUAUGGCACAAUGGGCGGACGCCUGUUGCAGCAACGCCGCGUGCGUGAUGACGGCCUUCGGGUUGUAAACCGCUUUCGCCUGUGACGAAGCGGGAGUGACGGUAAUGGGUAAAGAAGCACCGGCUAACUACGUG
rnacentral:rRNA from 1 species